AGUGAACGCUGGCGGUAGGCCUAACACAUGCAAGUCGAACGGCAGCACAGUAAGAGCUUGCUCUUACGGGUGGCGAGUGGCGGAUGGGUGAGGAAUACAUCGGAAUCUACUUUUUCGUGGGGAUAACGUUGGGAAACUUACGCUAAUACCGCAUACGACCUACGGGUGAAAGCAGGGGAUCUUCGGACCUUGCGCGAUUGAAUGAGCCGAUGUCGGAUUAGCUAGUUGGCGGGGUAAAGGCCCACCAAGGCGACGAUCCGUAGCUGGUCUGAGAGGAUGAUCAGCCACACUGGAACUGAGACACGGUCCAGACUCCUACGGGAGGCAGCAGUGGGGAAUAUUGGACAAUGGGCGCAAGCCUGAUCCAGCCAUACCGCGUGGGUGAAGAAGGCCUUCGGGUUGUAAAGCCCUUUUGUUGGGAAAGAAAAGCAGCAGGUUAAUACCCCGCUGUUCUGACGGUACCCAAAGAAUAAGCACCGGCUAACUUCGU
rnacentral:rRNA from 1 species